rnacentral:rRNA from 1 species
CCUACGGGAGGCAGCAGUGGGGAAUAUUGGGCAAUGGGCGCAACCCUGACCCAGCAACGCCGCGUGAAGGAAGAAGGCUUUCGGUUUGUAAACUUCUUUUAUCAGGGACGAAGCAAGUGACGGUACCUGAUGAAUAAGCCACUGCUAACUACCGGCCAGCAGCCGCGGUAAUACGUGGGGGGCAAUCGUUCACCGUCUUUACUGGGUGUAAAGGCCGUGUAGGCGGGAAAGCAAGUAAGAUGUGAAAACCAUGGGCUCAACCUGUGGACUGCAUUUGAAACUGUUAUUCGUGAGUACUGGAGAGGCAGACGGAAUGCCUAGUGUAGCGGUGAAAUGCGUAGAUAUUAGGAGGAACACCAGUGGCGAAGGCGGUCUGCUGGACAGCAACUGACGCUGAGGCGCGAAAGCGUGGGGAGCAAACAGGAUUAGAUACCCGUGUAGUC